ACAAACUAUAUGCAGAAGUUAGGGAAAACUUGAAAAAGGCAUUCGAAAAGCAUUCCCGUUAUUACAACCUCAGGGCAAAUGCAAAUUGCCCUACCUUUAAACUAGGUGAGAAAUUGCUCAAGAAGAAUACGGAGUUGUCGGAUAAGGGGAAGGGCUAUUGUGCAAAACUGGCCCCUAAAUACAUUCCCGCAAUAGUUAAGAGAAAGGUUGGAGAACACUGCUACGAAUUAGAGGACGAAGUAGGCAAGCGUCUGGGCAUUUAUAACUGCCGCUACUUGAAGAAGCUCGCCUCAUCGUCGACAUAACUUUACUGGUGUUUGAGCUAUGCAACCUCUUAGAGGUAACCAUGCAUCUUAGAAUGCUCCAAAAUACAUUUUUGGCAUCAAUUCUCACUCCUUGAUAGGGCUGAGAUGGUGGGAACAAGCUAUGGUACCUUUUCUUAAAAGGACACGAUACACUACCAUUAGUGCACUAAAAUCCACACUGUGGCAUAGUAAACCAUCUCCUCGUAUAUCGAGUCGAGUUUCUUGGAUGUAAAGCUAUGUAUACUCACAGAGUGGACCAAGCAGUUAAAACCUGCACGAAAACACAACCGGCCAUUCUUGAAGUGCUCCUCUAUGAGUUGAGCCGUCCCACAAAAACUUUUUAACUACUGGUGACGAACUUCAAGAAUGUGCAUGGACAAGUAGAAGACUACUCUGAAGAAUAAGAGUAAGAGUAGUUGAAGAAAGCAGUAGAUUCUCCAACAUAAAGCUAUGAACCAUUUGCGACAACGACGAGAUCACAAAACCCUGACGAGGAAACGAAUUUACCGGAUUGGACAAUACUUGACGAAGGUGAAGGUGGCCCUGCCUAACCUGAUACGGUCCUAAUGUUAGUGAUUAGUUACCCUACACUUAUAUUAGGUUAGUUCUUAUGACUAGUAUUAGUAAUUUAACUGAAUUUCAUACCCGCUUUUGUAAAUACGUUAACUUUGGGUUGAAUUCCUUGGAAAAUGUUGUAAAUAUAUCCGUAAUCCUUUCGUCUGUCCUUCUUCCGUUGUAAAUACGUUUUUCUGUAUAUAGUAGUUGGUAGUCUUCUUCAUCUUGAAUUCUUCACCGUCAGGUCGUUUUCAUUCAUGGUGCGUAGAACGAAUUCAUUCUGGCAUCGUAAUUACUCAUGUUGUUUAUGAUCAGCGCAAACUUCCUUCAAAUCAGAUCCAUUCAGUUCAUAGCAUUUGUUUUCCUUUCCUUUGCACAAUAGCCCGGUCCUUGUUAAUAUUCCUUCCGCAUCAAAAAUCUAACGUAGAAAGCAGCAGUCACAUCAACAGGUUUCUCGGUUUUUCAUCCCACGUCGCAGCUCCUAAAAUAACAAACACAAAGCAAUUAAUUCACUACAAUAAGGAAGUAUUUCAAAUACUCCCCCCGUAAAACACAAAUCACUGAAGUUUUCGUGAAUAUUUUCACGAUUUCCGAUGCUUUUCCCGGCAGUUCGCUGCAUUCACGCACGUUCUUUUUUUUUCACUUUGUUUUGGUUUGCUCAGUUUGACAGCUCGGCCCGAACCGGUUCUCGCGCGGUGCGUUUAGUACUUGUACCGGUGUGAAGGUAAUGUGAAGCUACUGUGAAGCUUAUUCGUAUGGGGUAUGUGGUGGGUUUAGUAGUUCUUUUCAAAUUUCACUUUAUCAGAUUUGAAUCUGGUGUAGAAGUUUGAUUAAGAUUUGUUUCUUACGUUUUACAAAGAAGUGGACGAUUUGCCUGGAGGAAAGCUUCGGGGUGGGCCAGUUCUUUGUAAAAUAGUCUUUUGCGGUAAAUUCAGUGAAUGGAUCGGUGCUCAACGCAAUGAUUGGGGUAGAUCCGGAAUCUGAAUGAGCCUGUUUUUGGUUUAGUGGGGAAAUAAUUAGUUUUCAUUCAGUUUUCAAGAAACUGAGUUGAAGACAUAUUCAGGUGUGUUGUAAGGAAUAUUUUUGGUAGGGGUACAUGGUACAAAGCGAACCGUUCGGUACUUUUGGGUACAGCUGUAUUUUUUUUUUUCAUUUAUUUCUGUUCAUGGUUGUAAAUAUCCGAUGUUUUAGUUUAUAAAUGUGGUAUGUUUCGUGAUUGAUGUAAGUAGUAGUAGCAUUUGCUGGAGACCGGAGUCGAAAGACGCUGAUGGUCGGUAGUAGGCACGUUCAUUGUCGUUCGUGUGCUAUAGAUAGAGGAGGAGUCAGCUCUAGUAGUUGAUGAUGAUAACGUAUGACCCCAAAUGCAAACAUACUUUCAAAAAUUAAGAUACCUACCUAGCCUUUGUAAAUAGUUAAUUAAAUUUUCCCUACGAAAAUUUAGUUAAAUCAAUUUAACUAAAUUUUCGUACUUAAGCAUGGAGUGAUGUAACAAGUACGCCAAGCGUACGUUACUAUGUAAAUAUAAAUUUGUUUAAUCAUUAUAUUAUUGUACAUAAAUGACGUUAUCCUUAGAAUUAAAUAUAAAUGAAUUAGUAAUUUGUUCCGCUUUAUGAAUUCCAACUGUUCAAACUUGCUUGCACGUCACUGUAAAAAAAGAAGGCUUAAGAAAGGAAACGAUAAAACUGCGCCUGGGAGAUAGGCAAUUGAAAUACAGCAUUACGCAAUUUAAUUCGCGAGGUCAAGAAGAGAAAUUCUCGGAUUAACGGAUCGAAAACCGAAGGUCAAAUUCACUUCGUGUCCUUGGAUUUGAUGGGAAAGUGGGAAGGCAAGAUCUGAUGAAGCCUGCAUGAGCGAGAUGCAUUUCAAUCAGGGGAGCAUUAAUAGAUGAUUUCAUCUUAUUCGUUCGGCUGAAGCAUUUCCGGCUAAACCUAACUUUCGAGGGUUUUUAUCUGAGGACAUUAGAGUCACUCGUUCAUUUGCCUGGAGACUCGAAAACGUUUCGGAAGUGUGGCUCUGCCAAUAACCGCGGUGAUCGAGUGAACUGUAGUCAAAAUCAAAUAGACAGUUACUGUAAGCCAGUUACGUUUGUGUGAAGAAUCGUUAGAACAGAAAGGUAAUGUGAUCCUCUAGAAAACAUGUGCGUGCCAUGUGCAGUGUCUAAAGAUUCCUUUGUCGUACAGCCGUGCGACGGCUUUCUGUGUCCAAUUUAGGAACCACCGUAGCCACAACUCUCCGUCGAGUGCAUCCGUUGGCAAAUUUCCUGGCCAACCGUCAACCCACGGUCAGAAGGGGCCGCGCCGUCACCAUCGCGCCCGAGCGGAAUAAUCACGAGAAGAACCGCUGUUAGUCGAAGUUCAGGAUCCCACGAGACUCCGAUCCGCCCUGCUAGGUGGCUAGGCCCUAGUAGCGAGCAGCGAAGAGACCCCAACCGCCAAUCGUCUCCCCAACAACCACGCCGUACGUCUAUCAACCGGCCGGGCAUGCGGUAACUGAUCCCGCCAAAGUCGAUCGCAAACGAACAACAGAUCUGUAAGUAGAGCUCUAUUUUUCCCCCAGUCCGUGGGCACAUGUGACGACGACGAGAAAUUUCGUCAAUGGACCCAUAGCAUUUUCAUAUGGUGUUCCCGAAAUUUUAGCUUGCCGGCUAUAUUUUGCAAGCGCUAUUGUUCUGCGAGCUAGGUGCAGACAAUGGAAUUUGGAAUCGUGAGGAAGAAAGACACGCACAUGUAGGAUAGGUAGAAACAAAGUGAAUUCGAUAUUAGUUAAAUUAUUAUGAACUAGAAUAUACGUUUUUUGAAUUCUGAAUUAAAAUCGCUUUAUAUCCCUAUCCGCUUAUUUGAUUCACGGAGAGUAGCAUGGUGAAAGAUUUCAUGUCGCGCGCUUAAAAAUUCAAAUUUUGUCGCCUGCAGAAGUGGGUUGUAGUGAGUAGGUUGAACCGGUUCCAUGACGGUGUCGACAUCUGGUGUAUACUGGCGGUGACUUCCAGUGAUGAUAACCGAAA